rnacentral:rRNA from 1 species
UAGUGGCCUACCAAGGCGACGACGGGUAGCCGGCCUGAGAGGGCGACCGGCCACACUGGGACUGAGACACGGCCCAGACUCCUACGGGAGGCAGCAGUGGGGAAUAUUGCGCAAUGGGCGGAAGCCUGACGCAGCGACGCCGCGUGGGGGAUGACGGCCUUCGGGUUGUAAACCUCUUUCAGCAGGGACGAAGUUGACGUGUACCUGCAGAAGAAGCGCCGGCUAACUACGUGCCAGCAGCCGCGGUAAUACGUAGGGCGCAAGCGUUGUCCGGAAUUAUUGGGCGUAAAGAGCUCGUAGGUGGCUGGUCGCGUCUGCCGUGAAAGCCCGCAGCUUAACUGCGGGUCUGCGGUGGAUACGGGCCGGCUAGAGGUAGGUAGGGGCAAGUGGAAUUCCUGGUGUAGCGGUGAAAUGCGCAGAUAUCAGGAGGAACACCGGUGGCGAAGGCGGCUUGCUGGGCCUUACCUGACGCUGAGGAGCGAAAGCGUGGGGAGCGAACAGGAUUAGAUACCCUGGUAGUCCACGCUGUAAACGUUGGGCGCUAGGUGUGGGGGUCUUCCACGAUCUCCGUGCCGGAGCUAACGCAUUAAGCGCCCCGCCUGGGGAGUACGGCCGCAAGGCUAAAACUCAAAGGAAUUGACGGGGGCCC